AACGCACAUUGCACUCUUUUAGAGUAUGCUUGUUUGAGAAUCUAUAGUAUUUAUUUUUGUGUAUGCUUUUUAGGAAGUAUAGGCAAGAGAUAUGGGGUUUCCCUCGCAAGGGGGUACUCUGAAAUAGAUUGCCUCUGUUUUGAUAGACUCGACGAAGUUUUUCAAUCCUGCAGAAAAGUAUUUGAAUGGAACUGUGGUUUCUCGAUAUGCUGAAUAUGUGGGGGAAAGAUGGAGAAUCUAUUGGGCAGAUGUCCAUACCCUAUAAGGCGGUCUUAGGAUCGGCUUGAACCAUGGUCUCAAAUCAGGUAGGAAGACCCGCUGAACUUAAG
rnacentral:misc_RNA from 1 species